rnacentral:rRNA from 1 species
ACGAGAUGCAGCGUAGUCUCGUGGGCUCGGAGAUGUGUAUAAGAGACAGGGCUAGGGGCCGUAAAGGUUACCGAACCCUGUCAAACUCCGAAUGGAUAUACUGUAGAGCCUUGGAGUCAGACUACGAGUGAUAAGAUCCGUGGUCAAAAGGGAAACAGCCCAGACCACCAGCUAAGGUCCCCAAUGUCGUACUAAGUGGAAAAGGAUGUGGGGUUUCAUAAACAACCAGGAUGUUGGCUCAGAAGCAGCCACCAUUUAAAGAGUGCGUAAUAGCUCACUGGUCGAGAGACCCUGCGCCGAAGAUUCCCGGGGCUAAAGUACGAAACCGAAGCUGUGGCUGUAUACGUAAAGUAUACGGGGUAGGGGAGCGUUCCCAUAGGGUAGAAGUCGAACUGGAAGGUUCGGUGGACUUGUGGGAAGUGAGAAUGUUGGUAUGAGUAGCGAAAAGAAAGGUGAGAAUCCUUUCCACCGAAAGCAUAAGGAUUCCUGAGCAACGAUCGUCGUCUCAGGGUAAGUCGGGACCUAAUCCGAGGCAGAGAGCGUAGGAGAUGGACAACUGGUUGAUAUUCCAGUACCGGUAGUAAUUGUUUGAGCAAUGGAGUGACACAGAAGGGCAGGCAAGCAUGCGAAUGGAAGAGCAUGUGUAAGCGUGUAGGGUGGUGCAUAGGCAAAUCCGUGCACUGAAAGCCUGAGGCGUGAUGCGGAGUGAGCAGAGAUGCGAGCGAAGUUGUUGACCCCACACUGUCGAGAAAAGCUUCUAGUGAGAGAGCUACCGCCCGUACCGUAAACCGACACAGGUAUGCGGGGAGAGAAUCCUAAGGUGCGCGGGAGAACCCUCGUUAAGGAACUCGGCAAAAUGUACCCGUAACUUCGGGAUAAGGGUAGCCACUGUUGUGAAGUCCCACGCGGAUGGAGCAUAGAGUGGUCGCAGAGAAGAGGCCCAAGCGACUGUUUACCAUAAACACAGGUGCCUGCUAAAGCGAAAGCUGACGUAUAGGUGCUGACACCUGCCCAGUGCCGGAAGGUUAAGGAAGGAUGUUCGGAUUAGUCCAAAGCAUUCGACUGAAGCCCCGGUGAACGGCGGCCGUAACUAUAACGGUCCUAAGGUAGCGAAAUUCCUUGUCGGGUAAG